rnacentral:lncRNA from 1 species
GCGACGUCUGGACCAACCAUCAGCCGGACCUUUCAACGUAUCUACUGCCUGAUCAUGCCACGUCAUCACCAUCUGUGUGAACAAUUAGAGCCAAUAAUAACUGGACGCAUGGCGGCAAUCGACUAGUCAGAAUCAGAUUGAUCAGAUCGUCCAUCCGCCUAACCAAUUGUAACAUUAAAUAACAAUCCCUUCAAAUCGACACCCCA